UCUAGGAGAAAGCAUAGUGCAGGCAGAAUUCUAUGGACAAUAGAAAAUCCUGAAAUAGCUUGUUGGAAGAACCAGAUUUUAAGAAGUAAAUUACUGAAGAGAUACCAACUUAGAACAAAAGCUGGCCCCAAGAUAGUGAGAAAACCGAGGCAUAGCGAUGUUCUGUAACAGUGCUGGUAAGAAGCAGAGUUGGGAUUGACUACAUUUUGUUCACCUGUG